rnacentral:rRNA from 1 species
GACAGAGGGUGCAAACGUUGUUCGGAAUUACUGGGCGUAAAGCGUGUGUAGGCUGCCCUGCAAGUCGGAUGUGAAAGCCCCGGGCUCAACCCGGGAAGUGCACCCGAUACUGCAGGGCUAGAGUGUCGGAGAGGUUGGUGGAAUUCUCGGUGUAGAGGUGAAAUUCGUAGAUAUCGAGAGGAACACCUGCGGCGAAGGCGGGUUGCUGGGCUGACACUGACGCUGAUGCGCGAAAGCUAGGGGAGCGAACGGG